AGAUGGUCCCGGGACAGGCCCAGCCCCAGAGCCCAGAGAUGCUGCUGCUGCCCCUGCUGCUGCCCGUGCUGGGGGCGGGGUCCCUGAACAAGGAUCCCAGUUACAGUCUUCAAGUGCAGAGGCAGGUGCCGGUGCCGGAGGGCCUGUGUGUCAUCGUGUCUUGCAACCUCUCCUACCCCCGGGAUGGCUGGGACGAGUCUACUGCUGCUUAUGGCUACUGGUUCAAAGGAUGGACCAGCCCAAAGACGGGUGCUCCUGUGGCCACUAACAACCAGAGUCGAGAGGUGGAAAUGAGCACCCGGGACCGAUUCCAGCUCACUGGGGAUCCCGGCAAAGGGAGCUGCUCCUUGGUGAUCAGAGACGCGCAGAGGGAGGAUGAGGCAUGGUACUUCUUUCGGGUGGAGAGAGGAAGCCGUGUGAGACAUAGUUUCGUGAACAAUUUGUUCUAAAAGUAACAGCCCUGACUCAGAAGCCUGAUGUCUACAUCCCCGAGACCCUGGAGCCCGGGCAGCCGGUGACGGUCAUCUGUGUGUUUAACUGGGCUUUCAAGAAAUGUCCAGCCCCUUCUUUCUCCUGGACGGGGGCUGCCCUCUCCCCUAGAAGAACCAGACCAAGCACCUCCCACUUCUCAGUGCUCAGCUUCACGCCCAGCCCCCAGGACCACGACACCGACCUCACCUGCCAUGUGGACUUCUCCAGAAAGGGUGUGAGCGCACAGAGGACCGUCCGACUCCGUGUGGCCUCCCUGGAACUCCAGGGAAACGUCAUAUAUCUGGAAGUUCAGAAAGGCCAGUUCCUGCGGCUCCUCUGUGCUGCUGACAGCCAGCCCCCUGCCACGCUGAGCUGGGUCCUGCAGGACAGAGUCCUCUCCUCGUCCCACCCCUGGGGCCCCAGAACCCUGGGGCUGGAGCUGCGUGGGGUAAGGGCCGGGGAUUCAGGGCGCUACACCUGCCGAGCGGAGAACAGGCUUGGCUCCCAGCAGCGAGCCCUGGACCUCUCUGUGCAGUAUCCUCCAGAGAACCUGAGAGUGAUGGUUUCCCAAGCAAACAGGACAGUCCUGGAAAACCUGAGGAACGGCACAUCCCUCCGGGUCCUGGAGGGCCAAAGCCUGCGUCUGGUCUGUGUCACACACAGCAGCCCCCCAGCCAGGCUGAGCUGGACCCGGUGGGGACAGACCGUGGGCCCCUCCCAGCCCUCAGACCCUGGGGUCCUGGAGCUGCCUCGGGUUCAAAUGGAGCACGAAGGAGAGUUCACCUGCCACGCUCGGCACCCGCUGGGCUCCCAGCGCGUCUCUCUCAGCUUCUCCGUGCACUGCAAAUCAGGGCCCAUGACGGGGGUGGUUCUGGUGGCUGUUGGGGAGGUGGCUAUGAAGAUCCUGCUUCUCUGCCUCUGCCUCAUCCUCCUCAGAGUGAGGUCUUGCAGGAGGAAGGCAGCAAGGGCAGCAUUGGGCAUGGAGGCUGCAGACGCUGUCACGGACUAAUCUCCAGACUCCAGACUGCUUCCAGAUGCCUCCUCAUCCAGUUCCUCCACAGUCUGAGCGGCCGUGUUUCCUCUGCAGGCUUUGCAUGGUCUGUCCCCUGCUGGACUCUCCUGAUCCCUCCUUUCCCUGUCACCCAACAUCUCCCCAAACCCUCCGGGCCAAGGACUCUGCGGCUCUUGACACUUUGCACGUGUAGUUUCUUCUCCUGAAACACCCUUCCCUCCUGCCAAACCACGUCUGGACCCUCCUUCAGGUUCACUUUUUUUUUUUUUUUUUGAGACACAGUCUCACUUUGUCACCCAGGCUGGAGUGCAGUGGCGCGAUCUCGGCUCACUGCAACCUCUGUCUCCCAGGUUCAAGCGAUUCUCAUGUCUCAGCCUCCUGAGUAGCUGGGAUUAUAGGCGCCCGCCACCACGCCUGGCUCAUUUUUGUAUUUUUGGUAGAGACAGGGUUUCACCAUGUCGGCCAGGCUGGUCUUGAACUCCCGACUUCAGGUGAUCCGCCAGCCUCGGCCUCCCAAAGUGGUGGGGUUACAUGUGUGAGCCACCGUGCCCAGCCAGCUGUGUCUUCUUUUUGCAGGAUUUACUUACAAAAUUCCUUGCAGCUGCAGUCUGCGUUCCACCCACAUCCUAAUAUGGUGUUUGCGGUGGUCACAUCCAACUUCCUUCCUCCUCCAUCCAUGGAACGUGCAUUAGGGAGGAACCACACGCACCACGUGCAAGAUGAGCCAGUUCCCUGAACGGCCGGCCACGGCGUUAACCGCGCUGCUCUGGGCUCUGCACGUCUCAUCUGCUGAGGCGCAUUACUGCAUCUUUCAUGCAGAACUUGCUUUCCAUGCCUCACAUCUCCACAUGUGUGGGGAUAUGUCCUGAGAAAUGCACGGUUAGGUGAUUCUGUCGUGUGAGCAUCCUUGAAUGUGCUUACACAGUCAUAAAUGGUACAGCCUACCACACGCCGAGGCUAUACGGUAUAGCCCAUUGCUCCUAGACUAUACACCUGCACGGCAUGUUCCUGUAGUGAAAGCUGUAGGCAAUUAUAACGCAAUGGAUAGGUUAAAGACAGAGUUUUAGUAAAAAUAUGGCAUAAUAGGCCAGGCGUGGUGGCUCAUGCCUGUAAUCCCAGCACUUUGGGAGGCCAAGGCAGGCAGAUCACAAGGUCAGGAGUUUGAGACCAGCCUGGCCAAUAUGGUGAAACCCAGUCUCUACUAAAAAUACAAAAAUUAGCCGGGUGUGGUGGCGGGCGCCUGUAGUCCCAGCUACUCGGGAGGCUGAGGCAGAAGAAUCAUUUGAACCAGGAGGUGGAGGUUGCAGUGAGCCGAGAUCGCAUCACUGCACUCCAGCCUGGGCGACAGAGCAAGACUGUCUCAAAAACUAAAACAAAAAAACACCACCACCACCACCAAUGUCUGAUUAAAUCUAAGCCACGGUUCCAUUUUGGGGCAAGGGGCAGGGUGUGGGUGUGGUGGACAGAGAACGGGCUCCAGCCACCAUCAGCUGCACGUCCUGGUAGCACCUGAGCCAUUCCCAGUCUCCUGUGCUGGGAGAUCAUCAUCUAAUCCUGAUGAUGACGCCCUCCUCUCAGAGCUCGGGGGAUGAGCUGCCAAAACCCAUGGAGGUUCAAAACCCGGGCUCUGGAGACAGAAGACACUGGGCUCAGAGACAUGGGGCCACUGUCCAGGCUUUCCCUGGGCCUGGACCUGGGCUCCUUCCACUGUCUGAGCAGGGUCAGCCUGGGCUGGCUGUGCUGGUUCAAGAGAUGAGGGAGGAGGACACAGCGGUUGCCAGGACCCUGAGGCACUGGACUGGGCACUGCCCCAAGGGGCAGAGGAUGGAACCCGGUGUUGAUAUUGUGAUGCUGACCCGUCUGCUCACCUGAUUUGGGUGCUGAAGGGCAGCUGACCCCCCUAAUCUUUUAUAGACUUGUGAAACGAAAAUAAAUAAAAGUCAAGCUGGGAACAGCUUAGGGCAAACCUGCCUCCCAUUCUAUUCAAAGCCACCCCUCUGCUCACUGAGAUAGAUGCAUGUCUGAUCACCUCAGUUGGGAAAGGCUAAUCAGAAACUCCAAAGAAUGCAUCUGUUCAUCUCUCACCCAUCUGUGACCUGGAAGCCCCCUCCCCACUUCGAGUCUUCCUGCCUUUGCUUCAAGUUUUCCCGCCUUUCCAAAUGGAACCAAAGUACUUCUUACAUAUAGUGACUCAUGUCUCAAGUCUCCCUAAAACGUAUAAAACUAAGCUGUGCCCCAACCACGCUGACCAUGUCAUCAGGACCUCCUGAGGCUGUGUCACGGCCUGUGUCCUCAACCUUGGCAAAAUAAACUUUCUAAAUUAA